UGGGGAAUAUUGCACAAUGGGCGCAAGCCUGAUGCAGCCAUGCCGCGUGUGUGAAGAAGGCCUUCGGGUUGUAAAGCACUUUCAGCGAGGAGGAAGGUGGUGAGCUUAAUACGCUCGUCAAUUGACGUUACUCGCAGAAGAAGCACCGGCUAACUCCGUGCCAGCAGCCGCGGUAAUACGGAGGGUGCAAGCGUUAAUCGGAAUUACUGGGCGUAAAGCGCACGCAGGCGGUUUGUUAAGUCAGAUGUGAAAUCCCCGGCGUCAACCUGGGAACUGCAUUUGAAACUGGCAAGCUAGAGUCUCGUAGAGGGGGGCUGAGAAUUCCAGGUGUAGCGGUGAAAUGCGUAGAGAUCUGGAGGAAUACCGGUGGCGAAGGCGGCCCCCUGGACGAAGACUGACGCUCAGGUGCG
rnacentral:rRNA from 1 species